rnacentral:lncRNA from 1 species
UUAAGACACUGCAACAUGUUAUACAAGUUUAUUAAGGGAAGAUUAUGGCCAUGUGGCAAAACCAGUAGCUGUUUGACAAAUACAGUGAAUUUACAAAACAGAUUAUUGCAGUGAAGUUUUGAAUUUUUAGUUCAGUCAGCAGUUGUAAUAAUUCAGAAAUAAAAGUCAGGUUCUGCCAAGGAAGGCAAAGCCUCCAGACGUUGGUGACAGGGGUGGGGCUCAUCUUGGGACUCUUGCUUUUUGGGGAGGGAGGCGGCAGGGUCUGGACCCGUUUUGGCAGUGGCGUUCUCACGGCUACCUCAUGAAUUACUCAAGUGUUGGAGCGGAGAUGAGCAGCUCCGAGGUUUGGGUUCACUCUGCUGAAAGGCGGAGGAGGUAGGCCAUGCAUACCGCAGGCUCUGGGGCAGGGAGGGGACAGACUGCACAUCCUCUUUGACAUGCUGCAUUUGAGGCAUCUAUUGACAUCCAAGAUGCUGAGUGACAGUCCUAGGAGAGCUUUCGGAGCCUCCCAGGCAGAGUCCUGGCCUCAGACAGGGAGCAGCUCCUGGCAGACAGGCCGGGCUUGGCUCGCUCACUGAAGAGACAUGGUGACAACCUGGCUGCUUCUCACAGCGGCUGGUAUCAGGUUUUAUCCCCAAAGCCAUAUGUGACGCAUACAGUGACCUUAGAUUUCGGUUUUCAUGGAGUAUGUACAGUGACCUCGUAACUGUAAGGAGUGUCUUCUCUCUGCUGGGAAUAAAUCCACAUUCUAUAUUGACCAUCAGCUAUAGGUUGUAUCUCAAAGGCCUCCAUUUUACUUACUGUUUUAUUUGGUCAGACUUUUAUGACACCACAUUCAAAGAAAAAAUGCUAAAGGAAAAAUAUGUAUAAUUCUAUCACCCUAUUACAAUCACAUUGCUUUUCUCCAUAUUCCUGUACAUUCCCUUCCAAUUUUAAAUAAAGGCACUGAUUAGAACAUGUUUACCUUUAGGACUGUCUACACUGGUAAGCCAAGGAGGCCUUUGGAGCAGUUUAUCAGGAUCUAGGACAUAGUGUUAGAACCAUUGGAGUGCAGAUAAUUGGAAAUGAAUUCCAUUGAAACACUACUCUAUUUUAGUAAUAUUCCAAAAUAGAUGUCUUGAGAUUUACGUCUACAAAUAAUAGCACCUAUUCAUGCGGGAUUUAUGUUUAUGUGCUUGGGUGGUUUUGCUUUGUUUUGUUUUUAUUCUUUUCCUGCUCUCUAGACUACCAAAUACUAUAUACAACACUAUAUAUAUAUACUAGAUAUAUACUGGAUGUAUACUAUAUACUACACACAUAUGCGUGCACACACACACACACACACACUCAUGUUUCAUUUCUGAUUUUAUGUUUACAGCAAAUACAGAUAAAAUAAAUCCCUUUAAAGUAACCCAGGAAAUACUGAAGCUUUCAGCAGCUAAUCAAUCUUCACUCCCCUGCAAACUCCUAAUGCCACUCCAACCAGAUAAGAGCCUCAGAUAAGUUGUACCUUCCUCUAUAAUAUUUUUAAAAUUAAAUCUACCUAUGAAAAGCUAGCUCCUAUGAAACAACAACAGCCUAUGGUUACCUUAGAUACAGGUGGGCUGUCACAGAGAUGAUUGAUAACAAUAAACGUGGACAAACCCCAGAACUUAGAAUGUGAGGCACAGACAGGCCUCCUCCAACAACGCGUGCACUGGCCUGAGGCACAGCACCGGGACCUGGGAAUGUCCUUGAUUAUGCACCCCAGUGAUAAAAGUGUUUUAAGUUGUCCCCCCAUUUAACAUACAUAUUUAUUUAUAGUACUUUUACAAUUGUAACAAUGUUACAUAUUUCACAAAAUAUACAAAACAGAAACCAGAUGUAGAUCAAUGUAAACAGCAUCCUGAUCAUCUCAUCCUGAGGCCAGUCAAUGUCUUUGUCCCUGGAUGAAUGCAGCUCACUUGGGAGACCCCCAAACAUGGCGGUGGGUGCUGUGGGAGCUUCUCAGGCUGCUCCCCUGUCUCAGUGGCCCCUGCUCUCAGCUCCAAGCUGCCACCUGCCCUGCGAAACACAAAACCACUGCAGUCAGUUGUUGUCAUAGCAACUGGAAAGCGACCACCCCAAGUGGCCAGUUUCAGAUUGGAGACAGGGAUGUGUUGUCAUGUCACUUUAAAGAAAUGCAAGGGCCCAACAGCCAGGCUCCCUACCAGGUCCGGACAGGUUCAGAAUAUACCCAGCUUUGUAGGCCCCAGAGGUUUGCAUGAGUAUCCGAAGUCCCUCCCCGCCACCAGCAGCAUGAGAGCUGCCCCUCCUGGAAGCAGCCCUUGCCUGCUCUCAGCCAGCGGCCAGCAGGUUCUCUCUUAGGCAGGCAUUUCCCUGGUCUUCUGCCGGCCAGGGGCAGUCUGAGGGCCGCCUGCACACGGGUGCAGACCACCUGAGUUCUUGUUUCCUAUCACAGGCUCCUCACAGAGAACUUCCGCUUAUUGCUCAAGUGUUUCACCUGAAUGUGCCUCCUACAUCCCUUCAGUUCAAGGAAGACUGCUGUCACCUGGGUGGACAGCCAAGAACACAGCCGUGGGUGUCCUGAUGGACAGGUAGACUGACAGAUGGACAAGGAUGGGGAAUGAGAUCCGGGCUUCCACUUUGUGAGAGGAGCACGUGCUCCAAGACAUCACACCCUGGCCAAGACGGCAUCUUGUUGUACUAUUUAUUUUGUCCAUUUUAGUGACUGGGGUGGAUCUGACAAGCUGGGCAGAAAGUUGUGCCAGAACAAAGCGAAAGACCCUAAGUGUGAACUGUCACUCGUGGCUGGGUUCCUAUGUCAAGCAAUAGAGUCACUCUUCAAAUCUCUUCAAGAGGAAGAGCAGCCCAGGCCUGAGCAGGGAUUGUUUCCACUUGAACGUGAAAGCUGACCUUUUAUUGCCGUCAGCAGUCCUGGCAUUACAACCAGGUUUCACAAAGCAGUGGGCAUUCCAACUCACUGCCCGUUGUGAAAUCUGUGAUAAUAACCAUGAGGCACGUACCUGGGACACACUGUCAUUUUAGCUUUGACCUCUUGCUUUCUACCCAAUAGAACAUUUCAAACAGUCAUUAUUGACAGCUUAAAUGUUAACAGCAUUUCAGUGAGAAUUUUGUAUCUUUUUUUUUAACUAAAGCCUUUAGCCAGUUUUCACCAUCUUCAAAAUUACAGAUCCAAUCAGACAAUUAUUUAAGUAAAGAAGACUUUUAGAAAAUUAAAGUUAAGAAAACUAAACUUGACUCACUCUGUUGGCACAUAAGGGCAGUCUGGGUAGUUAGUUUAGCACACACAGAAAUGCAUUCCGUGCUGCUUAGUAGGCGCCUCGAGUGUGUUUACAUGCACUGUUCAUGCUGCAGGCUGUGAAGUUUAAUGGUCAUACGUGUUCACUUUCUCUUCCUACUCACACUGAGAAGAAAGAUAUGGAGUGGUACUUUUGUAUCUUUGAAGAUUAAAAAAUAAGUGUCGACUUCCUGGACGUUUCCUGUUUGAACAGAACUAAGACCAUCCGUUCCAAUCCAGUUGUGGGCGAGGAACUGGAAGGUGGUUCUGAUGACUGACGGCCAGUCGGUGGCCAAGAUGAGGCAGGAAGAGACGUCUGACCUUUGCCAAUGCCCUUUAGCUUGCAGUGAGAAAUGGGCUAACCGUGGCUCCUAGAAGGAAAACCAAGCAGACGUUUUUCAAGUUCAGUGGAGGUUGAAGAAGCAGCGUUUCCUGGGUAGAGCUGACUCACCCCCGAGGGCCCCGUCAGGGAGAGCUCCGCGGUGGGUCAUCGCACUCGGGCUGCACCCCUCCUGUGCCGAGUGGAGAGUUCUAACAGCACCUUCUGGCGGAGCCGGUUUCAACCCCACACCCCCGCCCCAUUCUCCUGGAGUAGGUGCACUAUGAGAAAUACAUCAGAGCUCAGUCUGACCGCUCACUCCCCCACCAGAAUUCCUCAGUGAACUUCCGUCUGUCUGCAUAGGCCGCCAUCAAGUGCCUUCUGCUGGCCCAGCCUAUCUUCAGUCUCAGCCAUGGUCCCUCGUCGUCUUGGUCUCUGCCCUUCAGCCCACUGUGGUUUCUGUUCGCCUGGAACUGCUCACAGCUUCUGUGCCUGUGUUCUGUCCUCCCCCUUCUGCUUAAUGUCCUCCUGGACACUCACAGCCCCACUGCACUCUGCUGGUGCAUGUCUGAGGCUCAGCUCUCAGGUGACACCUUCAGUAGACUGUCCCCGGCACCUCCCCUGCCCCCUACUUCCUAGAUAAGGGGACCUUCCUCCGGGACACUGUAUUUCUUUCUGCAUGAUCACUGCUAUAAAAACAGAAAAUUAUAAAAUGCUGCGUUAUAUGUCCACCUCACCUACUUUUUUGUGAGUUCCGGAGGGAACUAUUUCACAGCAACCAUAGCAAGAGUUUGGAAUGAGGCCAACGAAUGUCACUGGAGUGUAUGCAAAGAGCAUGGGAUAGUAUUUGGCACAGAGAACAGAAGAAUGCCCAGGAACAAAUGAGGGGUUAAAGGUCUUUCCUGACCCUGGUUCUUCUCACUGGGGAACAUCAUGCUUCCCAGGAAUCGGCUGGAUAGUGAUGAUCACUGACUUUGUAGAGGAGUAGAGGGAAAUUCUGGCCUGGCAGCUCUUGUGAAGGGUGAGCUCAUCUUGUAACAGACUUGCAGAAAGUUUUAAGCACAAAUGGCAGAAAAAUCUGUCUCCCAAAUAGCUUCUGAAGGCUCUCUCAGUAUACAGCAGACAGCUGUUACUGAUUCAAGGGGGUCCGAGUCCUAACUCCAGGCCUUCAGCGUAUGACAGUUUGAUGCCUAAUGCAUCCACUAGAGGUCAAACUUGUAAGCACAGUGUCUCCCCUAGCAAUGGUACUGAGAGCCUGGAAAACGGUUCCAUUUCCUCCGGAUUGUAGAAAAAUUGCUCUUUUCUGUGUGUGGGUUGCAUAGUAACCAACCUCCAAUCAUAGUUUGGGAAGCAGGAAUAAACUAACCCUCUUAAGGAAAGUGCUCUUCUCCUGGCCUGUGUCACUCCUCUCCUCUUACCAGAGAUGGGUGACGGUAGCAUUGGCAAUUCAGAGCCCUGCCCCUGUGUGGAACGGCUCAUAUGGGUCACCAUCUGAAAGGAGCAGCUGGACCCGAUCCUUUCUAGUACUGAUUUAAUUUUCCCUAUUUUAUUUUUAUUAUAGAGCUGUUGCAGGUUAUAAAUUUGGACAUUUUUAAAAAUUCCCUCUCCUCGUUCUUUCCUACCAGCUGCUAUUCCAGGGUAUCUGAAGUUCUGGGGUCCAUCUACUAUCUCACCCCCACUCAAAUCACAGUAUGUUAUUUGCAAACUUACUUCCUGCAAGUUUCCAUCAAGGUGUUGAUGAUCUCUGACUUUCCCUUCAAACUACGUUGUUAAUUUCUCUGACAAAAACAAAAUCCAAUAACUUUAUAGUCCUCUGAACUUGAGGAAGUCUUUUCACAAGGACCAUGGUAUCUGAUCCUUGUAAUAUGCUAAUUAGUCAGAUAGGAACAGAGUUAUUUUCCUAAAAGUAAUGAAUGUGGCUUCACUCAUUCUAUAGUGAAGGAACUCAGGUUUCAAUGCUAAGUGACUUUCUCAAGGUCAAACAGAAAGUAGCAGGAUGGAAUGAAGGUCCUGUCUUUGGAGUAUGACAGCCCUGCUCUGGCCCUCUGUGACCAAUACCAGCCAUUAAGGCAUUUUAGGAAAUGUGUUUCCAGGUGUGUUUGUCCUCAUACAUCAGUAGGAUCUCAGGAGUUCAAUCCACAGCCUCUGGGGAAGGAAAUGUUUGUAAACCCAUAAAGCUGAC